AAUAGAUACCCAGGUAGUCCACGCCGUAAACGUUGGAUACUAGGUGUGGCGGUCUUACCAACGACUGCCGUGCCGAAGCUAACGCAUUAAGUAUCCCGCCUGGGGAGUACGGCCGCAAGGCUAAAACUCAAAGGAAUUGACGGGUCCCCGCACAAGCGGCGGAGCAUGCGGCUUAAUUCGAUGCAACCCGAAGAGCCUUACCUGGGUUUGACAUCACGGGAAAAGCUGUAGAAAUACAGUGUCCAUUAGGGCCCGUGACAGGUGGUGCAUGGCUGUCGUCAGCUCGUGUCGUGAGAUGUUGGGUUAAGUCCCGCAACGAGCGCAACCCUUGUCCUAUGUUGCCAGCGGUUCGGCCGGGGACUCAUAGGAGACUGCCGGGGAUAACUCGGAGGAAGGUGAGGACGACGUCAAGUCAUCAUGCCCCUUAUAUCCAGGGCUGCACGCAUGCUACAAUGGCCGGUACAACGGGCAGCGAUCCCGCGAGGGUGAGCGAAUCCUAAAAAGCCGGUCCUAGUUCGGAUUGAAGUCUGCAACUCGACUU
rnacentral:rRNA from 1 species